rnacentral:tRNA from 1 species
CCUACUUAACUCAGUGGUUAGAGUAUCGCUUUCAUACGGCGGGAGUGAUUGGUUUCAUCCAUAGUAGGUAGA